CGCGGCCCUUAUCGAAGCUGCAGCUGCUUCCGAAGCGUAGAGGCUGUCGUCAGAGGAGCCCGGAGUGAGUUUUCCCCAACUGCCGCCAUUGGGCUUGCUAUGGCCGGUCUGCAACAUUGUGGGGAAAGUGCCAU
ensembl:snoRNA